CGGAUUGUAGUCUGCAACUCGACUACAUGAAGCUGGAAUCGCUAGUAAUCGCGGAUCAGAAUGCCGCGGUGAAUACGUUCCCGGGUCUUGUACACACCGCCCGUCACACCAUGGGAGUCGGAAAUGCCCGAAGUCUGUGACCCAACCGCGAGGAGGGAGCAGCCGAAGGCAGGUCGGAUGACUGGGGUGAAGUCGUAACAAGGUAUC
rnacentral:rRNA from 1 species